rnacentral:rRNA from 1 species
AGGGUGUAAACGCUGCAGACUUGGUGUUGGGGGCCCCGUUUGGGGGGCGAUUCAGUGCCGGAGAGAAGUUGUUAAGUCUGCUACUUGGGGAGUACGUCCGCAAGGAUGAAACUUAAAGGAAUUGGCGGGGGAGCACCGCAACGGGAGGAGCGUGCGGUUUAAUUGGAUUCAACACCGUAAACUCACCAGGGAAGACUGUUACAUGAAGGCCGAGAUGAAGACUCUGCUAGAUUUUCAGAGAGGUGGUGCAUGGCGUCAGUGACU